rnacentral:misc_RNA from 1 species
UGCUAAUUUUUUCUUUUCUUCUUCUUGGUAUUAUAGUCCGUGUCCCACAUCCUGGUGUGAAUGAGGAAAUCAGUUUGUUGACCAUGCCGGCCGCUAGUGUUGAAACUGGCUUCUCGGCCUUUAAGCAAGUUGUUAAUAACUUGGACGGUUUGGAAGAGUCAGCAGGGGCAGAUGAAAGGGAUAUAGAGUUUUUGAAAAAUUUUCUGCUUGAUGAGAAGAUACAAAAUUUAGUAUUGGCACAUGAUAAACUUGAAGAAACUCCUUUAGAAGCAGAGAACAAUAAAUCAUUGGAUCUUCAAGUUGAAGCAUUAAAAAUAUUAUCUGAACAUUCCUCAACAAAUGAAAGUGCUGCAGAAUUGUGGGAUAUUUUGAAGGAUAAUCACGUACAGUCACUGUUACUUGCUCACGACGAAAUAUCAAAAAAGAACUUUGAUGAAGUCAACACCUUCCAGCUUGAUUCACCUCCUCCUCCAGUAUUUUCCUUGGUUGAAGGUUCCAUUCGGUUAGUAAGAAUAAGGAAGAACAAGAACGAACCACUGGGUAUCAUCGUGAAACUUGAUGAGAAUAAUGAACUUGUUGUAUCCAGGAUUAUGAAUGGCAGCUUAAUUGCUAAACAAGGUCUUUUACAUGAAGGUGAUAUUAUUAAAGAGUUUAACGGAACAGAAGUCCAUACACCAGCCCAGAUUAUGGAUAAUAUUAAAAAUGCUGAAGAGGGUAUUUUCUUAACAAUCAUACCAAACAUGCAACGACAAUCUUUUCAUGAAAGUCUGUUUAUCAAAACUCAUUUUAAUUAUGAUCCAAUGCGAGAUCGGCUUAUACCUUGUAAGGAAGCAGGAUUACCAUUCAAGGAUGGAGAUAUCUUGGAGAUUUUGAGCCAAAAUGAUGCUAAUUGGUGGCAGGCUCGUAAAGUCGAUAGUAAAGGAAGUGCUGGCAUUAUACCAUCUCGCUCCCUUGAAGAAAAAAGGAAAGCAUUUGUUUGCCCUGAAUAUGACAAUUCAAAGAGUUUCUUUUGUGGUUUGAGGAGGAAAAAGAAGGUGAAAUACAGUACCAAGAACAACAAAGAUUUUGAUGCCUGUGACUUGAUGAUUUAUGAAGAGGUUAUUAAAAUGCCCCAGUUUCAACGGAAGACUUUAGUGCUGGUUGGUGCAACGGGUGUUGGACGUCGAUCAUUAAAAGAACGGCUAAUAAAAAAUGAUCCCAGGUUAUUUGCUGCUGCUAUGCCUCAUACUUCUAGGGCUCCCCGAGAUGGGGAGAAACAUGGCCAAGGUUACUAUUUCAUGGAACGAGAAGUAAUGGAAGAAGAAAUAAGAAAUGAGAAAUUCCUUGAACAUGGCGAAUACAAUGGCAAUUUGUAUGGCACCAAGAUUGAUACAAUAAUUGAUGUUAUCCAGUCUUCAAAGAUGUGUGUUUUAGAUGUCAACCCUACGUCUUUGAAAAUUUUGAAAACUGCAGAAUUUUUACCCUUCAUUGUGUUCAUAGCUGCUCCAAGUGCAGAUGUGUUAAGAGAGAUGCAUGAGCUUGGUAAACAAGCUAGAGGCUACAGAGGACGUAUGGAGUUAAAAACUGAGGAAGAUUUUCUAGGAAUGGUUGAUGAAAGCAUGCAGAUAGAACAAGUUUAUAAAAGCUAUUUUGACUUGAUUAUUAUUAAUGAUGACUUCAAUCAGUCGUACCAGUCAUUACGCGAGGCAAUUGAUGAACUCAGCAAUGAAACACAAUGGGUCCCUUCUAACUGGAUCUACUAACAACACACCUCAAUUGACCAUUUCAUACCUGAUUUGCAGAAACUUUGAGGUUCAUAUUUUUAUAGAACAAGUCUUAACUAGAUUUUAAUAUGCAACCUUAAAAUAUCACAUAUGUAUGUAUACAUUAUAUAUAGAAAGAAAGAAAAAUGUUUCAUUGAAUAAAACUUUUUAAAGGGAGAUCAUUCCAAAAGCCUGUGACUACAAUUUAAGUCUGCAUGGCUGAAAUUAAAAUAUAUCAAGUCCGAGCCACGAUAGGAAAACAUUUGCUCUUGAGCAAGAUUUUAUUUUUAUAAAUUGAAAUAGUUUUUUUCAUCAAUAACCAUUUCUUCAUAAAGUAUUUCUUAAAAAAAAAUAGAAUUAAAAGUUAAUGGAUACAGCAAAUAUAAUUUUAAGUGCCAAAUUUGUGAUGCAGUUUACAUUUUUACUGAAGCUGUCCAUGAUUCUAAUGCACUGCUCCAACCAGAUGUAUGUUGAGAGAAAACAGGAGUUUCUGUUUAAAUUCAUAACGGCAUAAUAUUUCAAAUAGUGAAAUAAUACCAGGAUAUUGGUCAUUUAGAAAUUGUGGUGGUGGAAUCAAAAAUUUGUGAAAGAAAAAUCUGCUUGUGAUUAGUAGAUUGAAGUAAAUUUUGGUUUUUCUCUAUCAACAUUUUGGACUUGGUACAAAAAAAAAAGAAUGAAAUUGAUUGAAAAAAAAAAAAGCAAUAAAAACCUUUCAUUUGAAAAUAUCUUUCCAGGCUAUUUUAGGGUGAGUUAUUUUACUAUAAAGCAUU